rnacentral:rRNA from 1 species
GGAGGAAGGGGCGGUGGCAUGCGUAUCGAGAGCCGGCUGCCCCGGCGUGCGCGAGGUUCGGCGCCAGUACGGGGUGCCUGGUCGCUGUGUCUGGUCACCCGGGCGGGCGGGCGGCCAUAUUGCUGCUUGACGGCCUCGAAAGGCGAGCUUUCCGGGUCCUCGGGAAACGAAGGGCAGCUGCAGGGCAGGAGGGGAAAAACGGUUAGGCCGAGGCGGAGAGGGGUGGUGGCGAAGGGAGGGAGGGAGGUAGCGGCGGGGGGGUGAGGUGGUGGUCGAAGGGCUUGCGAGAGGCGACUACGAAGAGGCGGGGCCGGGGAGGGGCGGCGGCGGGGCGAAGGGGCGGCGGCGCCGGGCGUCCUCGCGGCGGGGGCGGUGGCGCGGGAAGAAGGAGCACGACGCGGCGGCCGUCGCCGCCGCGGCGGUGGCGGGCGUGCGGGCGGAGGCGCGGAGGGAGAGGCUGGAGGAACGGUCGGAGGGCCCGAGCGAGCGCGAGCAGCCCGGGCGCCGCCGCCGGCGGCGCCGGCGGCAGCAGAGGAGGUAGCGGAGGGGCAGGAGGAUGGAGGCCUCGCCGGAGGGAGGGGGGUCGAGGGGGCUAGUGCUCCUGCGGCUGCGGCGCCGGCGGCCGCUCACCUAGGAGAAGUGGUCGGGCUGCGGCAAGUUGGCGACGCACGACGACGCGACGGGCAGGCACAGGAAGCUCCUGCCCCCGCACGACGAGCUGCCGCAGUUGCUCGCGGACGAGUGGGUCCUGGCGGUGAUGCAGUUGGAGUCGGCCCCGUCGUAGGGGCGGCGCGGGCGGCCCGUCCCGCGGCCGCUCCAGAGGAUGGUCGCCGAGACGUAGGGGGACCUCCUGCCGCCCCACUAGCGCGAACUGACCGGGCGAUUGGACCUAGACCUGUUCCUCGUACCGGAACUAAGGUGCCACGAGCAGCACGGGCCGUGGGGGCUCCCCUCGUACCUGUCCCCGUAGCUCUACAAGCACGACCUACGCGAGUUCUUACCGAUGAAGGGGUAACAGUACUUGGGGUCUCCCACGCCGCCUAGUGGCCAAUGAUGUGGUUCCAAUAAAUGUCGCCGACUGUCACUACUGUAGACGUGUUGCUAGGCGAAAUAUUUGUCGUUUUCCGGUACCUGUUGUUAUUACCCACAACCCACCCCAAUACCACGGUUAUACGACUGUUUCAUGGAACACCUUCGACCUCUCAGAUGAGGAGAAUGCCGACGACAAACAUAGCUGUUAGGAAAACUGGAUGUCCUUCGUUGUUCUUGUAAAGGAGUAUUAUAGCGAGAACUAGUUUUCGAGUGUCGACCGAACCAACUAUAAGACGCACGGUUAUUCCUUGAGAAAGUUCCUUUUCUAUUUCUGAAACUACAGGUCUUCCGAAAUAGCCGCUUGACAAACGCACUGAAACUACCUCGUUAUAGGUACCAAAGUGUACGCAAACGAUUACAACUACUGAAGAUAAGCCUUUUAUCGCACUCCGGAAAUCAACGGCCGCACUUUUAUGGACAUGAGAAAUAUGUCUCACUACUACCCUGACACGGUGAAAACAGUCAUGGCGCGUCAAGUUAUAGUCUUUUAGGAAAAUGGUCGGAAGAGGAAACAAGAACACAUGUGAGUUGACCUAAGUGGAAACUCUCUAUGUGACUUAAUACCACGGUCUUAGAAUGGGAUCUCACCAACAGUCGUCACCUCAAACGAGAAGAAUUCCCAGCAGUAGGCGAAUAGUUUCUACACCUAUAGUGACAAUUGGGUAGGUUUCCAGAUCGUAAGUGGCGUGGAGUUGGCUUACUAUUCUUCCAGGGGUUUCUCCUGUUAAAAGUACUCGUUCGAGUCAAAAAAGAGAGAUUAUUAAAAGGGGUACCUUAUUUACCCGACGAGUUACUAAGACGUUUACUUAUAAUACCACGAGUUUUGUCGCUUUUACCCGACGAGUGACUAAGACGUUUACCUAUAAGACCACGAGUUUUGUCGCUUUUACCCGACGAGUGACUAAGACGUUUACCUAUAAGACCACGGGUUUUGUCGUUUUUACCCGACGAGCGACUAAGACGUUUACCUAUAAGACCACGAGUUUUGUCGCUUUUGCCCGACAAUUUUCUAUUACCACUGCAUCCGUCCUAUUCGUUUCUCCGACUACUUCUCCUCGGUCUUCUUUAAGGACUUCUACAACUUUUUCCAGUACAUGAUGUUAGUCGUCCAGAACACUACUUAUACGACCUACGAUGUUACGGACCGUGAGACCUACUACUAGUUUUCUUCUUCCAAUACCACCGUCAUCUUGUUCCGCUUAGGGAACACUUUCGAGAUCUUCUUCGACAUGGACUUCUACACGCACCUUUCGAAUGCAGCAGACACUGACUUUAAAAUGUUAGAUUUGCUGUGUUAAAGUUAAACCUACGCAACUUCGCGCCGACCCGAUUACGUUCUAGUUGGUGGUUCUGUCACCAGGUUCUUUUCCAGUUUCUCAGCCUAGUACUCUCACCUCAAUUCCUACGGUUUUAACAACUGGUCUUGUCCUCACAAUGUAGGUAACCACUCCCUCUGGUUUUUCUAUGAUUAGACUGGAGUUUGCUGUUGUUAGGACGACUUCCAUAACUAAAUAGUGUUAGUUUCGGAAUGGUUCGAAGACCUGGACAGCCUUGACCUUAGCUUUGCCCUUCACUAGUCUAAGUUGAGCUAUUUGGACUCUCUCUAUCGAGACCUCACUUACUUUCGUCACUUCUCUUCGUUCUCCGGCUAGUCCCGUCACAUUGUCUAGGUUUCGUAGAAAGACUACUAGGUAGUUGUCGGUUAAGUUUGCCUUGAGGGUCUCUCGCUCACGUCAGCCGUCUACGAUGUCGUCUCGUCUUAGGUGUCAGGUUAUACCAUCUGUUCCUUCAACUACGUCAAGUGUGGUUACUUCUAUUCCAACGUGAAUUACAACGACUAGUCUCGUGCGUUUAGAGAUUUUGUCUUCUUAGAUUUGUAGGCAGUCAAUUAUUACACUCUGUCCGUAAUCUACGGAAUUGACUAAAACUACUGAGCUGAGUUUACCGACAGUUAUCACACAAGCCUCAAUAACUUUUAUACUAACUGGUCAAAGUUUUCGUGUUCCUGAGACUCCUGUCCCUCUUAAGACUACCUCGGUGGCUAUUCGGAGGACACCUACUCUGUCUUAGACUACGCUACCACCUACACCUGUUACUCAAUUCACCUUUCCUGUUUUUAGGUAGUAGUAGACCACUUAGUGUUGUAUUAUGAAGACAAUUUCUAGCAGGCUAGUACAGACUUCUAGUAUUAAAAUCACUCUUUUUUAGACUAAACUUGUGACAAGGUGGAAGCUUUCCUUUUUAGUCUUUAAGAGUUUCUUUAUAUGGACCUUUACUACAACUACCACUACAGCCCUUCUACCACUCACCGAGUGGACUAAUGAACAACCUACAUCGACGGUCAAGAAUAAACUUCCACGUCAUACGAAACAUGGAAGUACUUAUAGAAUGUUCUGUUGACGUUGAAGUCAGUGGUCCAAACUUGAGCCGUUGACUAGAAAAGGAACUAGGCGUUCUCCCAUUUACCUUUGAUCGUCUAGUUUACCUGUUACACGUUCCACUGUAAAGAUAUAGACCUUUUAUAUCGAAGCAGUUACUUCCCUAGUUCGUACGUCUAAGGAGCGUUCGAGGUGGAUCCUGUCCGUUACAGUAAAACGGUGGUAUGAGUCGAGACGCUUUAAAACGUCUAAGACUUUGGUUUUCCUUCCAUUAACUCUUCAACGGACCAUGACGAAACUCUGUCUGUGAGUGUAUGAAAUAAUGACUACUCAAUUGUUUAUGGGAGUUUUGACUUCAACCAGCGUCUGACCCCUAUUGUUUUCGACUCUUUGAAGUUUCUUCAGAACGUGUACUACAUCUUGCUGAGCGAUGAGUUCAAAGAUCUUGAUAACAGGUACUGAGACUCAAUAUGUCUCGUUGUAGACACGUCUCCUUAGGUUGCUGACACUUUAAACCACACCAGGUACCGCUUUUACAACAACUUCGACAUAGUUGACGUCAAGACGUUAGAGUACUAGACUCUUUCCAAGAAGGUCACCCACAUUAUCAACCACAUUGAAAUCGCAGGAACUCUUUGAUGAAGGUGCAACCACAGAGAUUCGUACUGUUGGAAUGUUUUCGACGCCAGUUCAGUCCUUAAAACCUACUCCUAGAAUAAUAAGUCCUACGGCCGCUUCCUUUAUAUCUAUUAGAAAGGUGAGUCUUUCUUCGUUUACGACUAGAAACGUGUGUUUUUCUUCGUUUAUGUCUAAUAAUAUUGCUUUUUGGGCCACUCGUGUUCGUUGUCCUCUAUUGUUUCAGUCUACCAUUUCCGUACUACCAACCCCGACAUUGCCGACGGGAUCCACGAAGACGUAAGCAUCGUGUAGUAGUUGCUUUCUUACGACUUCUCGUACUAUCGUACCUAUCGUGAGUCGUAUUAAAACUGCUGUGACUUGACCUUUUCCCGGUCUUGUUGAAUCACUCUUCGAAACGACUCUUUCGGUACAGACAACGUCGAGGCCACCAUGGGUUCUUCCCACCACCACUUGAACUAGUGCUAUCCGAACAACGACAAGAUCGACUUGAUCCCGUUUCUCCACCUUAGAACUUUAAACACCCCUUUUAACGAGAUGAGACCCCUCCAUAAGCACCACGAUACUCGAACUGACUGUCCGAGUAGAACAAGAAUGCAUAGUCGCUUGCAGGGAAUAAAGUCUCCUAACACCCUAAAAGGAAGUACCAUGAACAAGAUACCAGAGGACACCACUAAGGAAAUGACGGUUGAGAACAAGUUUCGACCUGUUAUUCGCGAAGUUGUCCUUAACAACCCCUACGAACGUAACAACCAGACAUACAGAGAUAUUACUAUGAACAUUACGAUACCCCUUUUUCUUAUGCACCGAUACUCCUAGGUCAACUCGUUAUACCUUACUUAGAACGUAGAAGUAGUUCCGACGUUCUUAAAAAGGUUCCAGAACAGCCUCCGCACAGACAGCAAACCAACCACGUAAGCUAUUCGUAAAAUGAACCGAAACGUUGAAAAGCUCUUCCCUGCGGAAGUAAGAAUGGUAAACUAGAAGAGUUUAGAAGUUCUUUACAUAACAACGGUCGAGAAUCUCCCAAAUAGUGUCGUUGAUCGUAAAGACACCACCUUCUUCACCAAAAGUCUAGUACCGAAGGUCUUCUUCAACGUCAACUAGAACCAAUGAUGUUACGAUAAGACUACAGACCUCAACGAAAAAGAGACUAAGUGGCCAGAGAUGGAAGUCAUGGUCCGAAACACGAUGAAAGGGACCACGAAAAACCCGAAUUCGUUUCUUGUGUUCCCUUAGAACGACGUGGCUAACCGGACGCUAGACCUUAAUACUGACGAUCAAUAGAGUGUGUUUGGUCAGCGUAAUAACGUAAGUUUGGACUUUGAGGUAAGACCUACUAAUCAUGUAUAGUAGAAGUAGGCAAACUACCACGCUAACCCAAUUCAUAAACACGUAAUGAACGCUAGGAAAAGAAGGGAGUCUCUGGACAAGUCUUCCUAUGUAGACACAGUACUCUUAACCCUCCUGGGUGUUUUCAUGAGAAACUCCGGUCAAAGUUGUUCUAUAGUGCAGACGUGUUUUGCACUCGUGACUUCCCGAAGAGGUCACAUAUGAUACAAUCGAGUGUGACUGCGUGACAUUGAACGAGCUUUUUCUCGUGGGCCGAUCGUCGAACUAAUGUGGCUCCCCACGACGGCUACCUUACCUCGACACCCCCAAGUAUGGGAACCGUUUAAACAUACGAUGAGUAAAGACCCGAGAACUGUCUACUUGAGACAAUAGCCAGCACGAUUGUUGUAUUUGAGGCUCGUCCUUACUAAACAAAGCAAGUAGUAAUAUCCCACCCCGUCAUAGCAUAUUUGAUGGGUCCUUCGACCUAUAUAGAACCUCUCUUUGAUCGUCUAUAGUAUUACACUUCAGUUAUGAACACGGUAAACCACCUCAUACACACGACUGACAGAAUUGAAGAAAAUCUUUAUGAAGUACGACUGAUUAACCACAUAUCCAAACAAGAAAUCUAGAUUGAUUCGGAGGAAAACUAUAAGACCUUGUGUUCGUACAGGUUCAAAACCCCACCUUUUAAAACUGUCGUGUAUGACAUACAUCUUCUAUCAGUGUACUGUCUCAAUCGACUAUGUAGUAUGUGUCAACACAUAGAAGGAGCUACUGUCUUAGAGUGACUGACAUUCCAAGUCACGUUCAUAUUACAACGGACAUACAUAUCUUCUUAGGCAGCUCUGGGCGUUUCUCUUUAUCGGUAAACAUGAUAUACAUUAUAAAGGUAUUAUUACAUUAUGAAACGGAGUUGAAGAGAGUGCAUCCGAGACAAUCGUCGGCCAGGUAGUUCAGGUGAUGUUCCCUGCCGUGUUCGGUUCAGUCGCUGCUGAUGCAGUUGGGAAGCUCGAGACAGCAACUAUCACCUGGUUCGUUCUCCUAAGCUGCUCGUUCUCCUAAGUUACGGGCAGGUGAGCGAUGCGUCCGUUCCUCACCCAGUGUACGAGACAAUUUAUCCCUUCCUUUACCAAUAAUCCCUAAACCGGUCAGACGGCAAACGAACAUUGAGAGAAGGAGGAAGGAGGGCCGAACAUUAAAGCUUAAUCUCGAUGUCUAGACUCCCUACAAGCAGUCAUCUCUCUCUAGGAUC